rnacentral:rRNA from 1 species
GUCGAGCGGUAACAGAUCCAGCUUGCUGGAUGCUGACGAGCGGCGGACGGGUGAGUAAUGCAUAGGAAUCUGCCCGAUAGUGGGGGAUAACCUGGGGAAACCCAGGCUAAUACCGCAUACGUCCUACGGGAGAAAGGGGGCUCCGGCUCCCGCUAUGGGAUGAGCCUAUGUCGGAUUAGCUAGUUGGUGAGGUAACGGCUCACCAAGGCCACGAUCCGUAGCUGGUCUGAGAGGAUGAUCAGCCACAUCGGGACUGAGACACGGCCCGAACUCCUACGGGAGGCAGCAGUGGGGAAUAUUGGACAAUGGGGGAAACCCUGAUCCAGCCAUGCCGCGUGUGUGAAGAAGGCCCUCGGGUUGUAAAGCACUUUCAGCGAGGAAGAACGCCUAGCGGUUAAUACCCGCUAGGAAAGACAUCACUCGCAGAAGAAGCACCGGCUAACUCCGUGCCAGCAGCCGCGGUAAUACGGAGGGUGCAAGCGUUAAUCGGAAUUACUGGGCGUAAAGCGCGCGUAGGUGGCUUGAUAAGCCGGUUGUGAAAGCCCCGGGCUCAACCUGGGAACGGCAUCCGGAACUGUCAAGCUAGAGUGCAGGAGAGGAAGGUAGAAUUCCCGGUGUAGCGGUGAAAUGCGUAGAGAUCGGGAGGAAUACCAGUGGCGAAGGCGGCCUUCUGGACUGACACUGACACUGAGGUGCGAAAGCGUGGGUAGCAAACAGGAUUAGAUACCCUGGUAGUCCACGCCGUAAACGAUGUCGACCAGCCGUUGGGUGCCUAGCGCACUUUGUGGCGAAGUUAACGCGAUAAGUCGACCGCCUGGGGAGUACGGCCGCAAGGUUAAAACUCAAAUGAAUUGACGGGGGCCCGCACAAGCGGUGGAGCAUGUGGUUUAAUUCGAUGCAACGC